rnacentral:lncRNA from 1 species
GGGCCGGUCGCAGACCAGUUUGGACCAGUUCAGACCAGUUUGGACCAGUUUGGACCAGUUUAAACCGGUCACAGACCAGUUCAGACCAGUAAGGGCCAGUUUGGACCCGUUUGGACCAGUUUGGACCAGUUCAGAACAGUUUGGACCAGUUUGGACCAGUUCAGACCAGUAAGGACCAGUUUGGACCAGCUCAGACCACUUUAAACCGGUCACAGACCAGUUCAGACCAGUAAGGGCCAGUUUGAACCAGUUCAGGCCAGUUCAGACCAGUUACACCAGUGCUCCCAGUGUCCCCAGUGAGAUCAAUGCCAGCUCCCAGUGCUCCCAGUGCUCCCAGUGCUCCCAGUAACGGCUCCCAGUGUCCCCAGUGUCCCCAGUUCCAGCUCCCAGUUACACCAGUGCCAGCUCCCAGUGCUCCCAGUAAGAGCUCCCGGAGCUCCCAGUGCUCCCAGUAUCCCCAGUUCCAGCUCCCAGUGCUCCCAGUGUCCCCAGUGCCCCCAAUGAGAUCAAUGCCAGCUCCCAGUGCUCCCAGUAUCCCCAGUUCCAGUUCCCAGUGCUCCCAGUUCCAGCUCCCAGUAACAGCUCCCAGUGCUCCCAGUGCUCCCAGUUACAGCACCCGGAGCUCCCAGUUCUCCCAGUUACAACUCCCAGUGCUCCCAGUAAGAGCUCCCAGUAUCCCCAGUGCCAGUUCCCAGUGCUCCCAUUAAGAGCUCCCAGUGCUCCCAGUGCUCCCAGUUACAGCACCCGGAGCUCCCAGUGCCCCCAGUGCCCCCAGUGUCCCCAGUGCCAGCUCCCAGUGCUCCCAGUUCUCCCAGUGCCACCUCCCAGUUCUCCCAGUAAGAGCUCCCAGUGCUCCCAGUGCCCCCAGUGCUCCCAGUGAGAUCAAUGCCAGCUCCCAGUGCUCCCAGUAUCCCCAGUUACAGCUCCCAGUGCUCCCAGUUCCAGCUCCCAGUUCCACCAGUGUCCCCAGUGCCAGCACCCGGAGAUCCCAGUGUCCCCAGUUCCAGCUCCCAGUAUCCCCAGUUCCAGCUCCCAGUGUCCCCAGUUCCAGCUCCCAGUAUCCCCAGUUCCAGCUCC